rnacentral:rRNA from 1 species
UACGUAGGGUGCAAGCGUUGUCCGGAAUUAUUGGGCGUAAAGAGCUCGUAGGCGGUCUGUUGCGUCGGCUGUGAAAACCCGGGGCUCAACUCCGGGCCUGCAGCCGAUACGGGCAGACUAGAGUUCGGCAGGGGAGACUGGAAUUCCUGGUGUAGCGGUGAAAUGCGCAGAUAUCAGGAGGAACACCGGUGGCGAAGGCGGGUCCCUGGGCCGAUACUGACGCUGAGGAGCGAAAGCGUGGGGAGCGAACAGG